rnacentral:rRNA from 2 species
CAGCUCGUGUCGUGAGAUGUUGGGUUAAGUCCCGUAACGAGCGCAACCCUUGUCCUUAGUUACCAGCACGUUAUGGUGGGCACUCUAAGGAGACUGCCGGUGACAAACCGGAGGAAGGUGGGGAUGACGUCAAGUCAUCAUGGCCCUUACGGCCUGGGCUACACACGUGCUACAAUGGUCGGUACAAAGGGUUGCCAAGCCGCGAGGUGGAGCUAAUCCCAUAAAACCGAUCGUAGUCCGGAUCGCAGUCUGCAACUCGACUGCGUGAAGUCGGAAUCGCUAGUAAUCGUGAAUCAGAAUGUCACGGUGAAUACGUUCCCGGGCCUU